AGUGAACGCUGGCGGUAGGCCUAACACAUGCAAGUCGAACGGCAGCACAGGAGAGCUUGCUCUCUGGGUGGCGAGUGGCGGACGGGUGAGGAAUACAUCGGAAUCUACUCUGUCGUGGGGGAUAACGUAGGGAAACUUACGCUAAUACCGCAUACGACCUACGGGUGAAAGCAGGGGAUCUUAGGACCUUGCGCGAUUGAAUGAGCCGAUGUCGGAUUAGCUAGUUGGCGGGGUAAAGGCCCACCAAGGCGACGAUACGUAGCUGGUCUGAGAGGAUGAUCAGCAACACUGGAACUGAGACACGGUCCAGACGCCUACGGGAGGAAGCAGUGGGGAAUAUUGGACAAUGGGCGCAAGCCUGAUCAGCCAUACCGCGUGGGUGAAGAAGGCCUUCGGGUUGUAAAGCCCUUUUGUUGGGAAAGAAAUCCAGCUGGCUAAUACCCGGUUGGGAUGACGGUACCCAAAGAAUAAGCACCGGCUAACUUCGUGCCAGCAGCCGCCGUAA
rnacentral:rRNA from 1 species